rnacentral:rRNA from 1 species
GACGAACGCUGGCGGCGUGCUUAACACAUGCAAGUCGAACGGAAAGGCCCUGCUUUUGUGGGGUGCUCGAGUGGCGAACGGGUGAGUAACACGUGAGUAACCUGCCCUUGACUUUGGGAUAACUUCAGGAAACUGGGGCUAAUACCGGAUAGGAGCUCCUGCUGCAUGGUGGGGGUUGGAAAGUUUCGGCGGUUGGGGAUGGACUCGCAGCUUAUCAGCUUGUUGGUGGGGUAGUGGCUUACCAAGGCUUUGACGGGUAGCCGGCCUGAGAGGGUGACCGGCCACAUUGGGACUGAGGUACGGCCCAGACUCCUACGGGAGGCAGCAGUGGGGAAUAUUGCACAAUGGGCGGAAGCCUGAUGCAGCAACGCCGCGUGCGGGAUGACGGCCUUCGGGUUGUAAACCGCUUUCGCCUGUGACGAAGCGUGAGUGACGGUAAUGGGUAAAGAAGCACCGGCUAACUACGUG